GACAGAGGUCCCGAGCGUUUAGACGGAAUCACUGGGCUUAAAGCGUGUGUAGGCGGAAGGGUAAGUACCUUGUGAAAUCCCACGGCUCAACCGUGGAACUGCUUGGUAUACUGCUUUUCUUGAGCCACUUAGGGGCAACCGGAACAAAUGGUGGAGCGGUGAAAUGCGUAGAUAUCAUUUGGAACGCCAAUGGUGAAAACAGGUUGCUGGGAGUGUGCUGACGCUGAGUCACGAAAGCCAGGGGAGCAAACGGG
rnacentral:rRNA from 1 species